UUCCUAGUUCAUUUAUCUAUUAUGCCCUUCGUUACCGUCCUCCGUUCCCGUGUGGCUUCGGUUUCUCCUCUGUGCAUCGAAGUUCGAAGAACGAACGAGACAAGCAAUUAGUUACUCAGAGUCACCGAAAGCCUUCUUCUUUCUAUUAUCAGAUUCAGAUCGGAGAAUUGUUGAAUUCUAGCUUCUCUUUCAUGCGCGGAUAGUUUCCAAAAUACCUUUUCUAAGUAUUUAACAUGGAGCGGAUCAUCGGCGGCAAGUACAAGCUCGGCCGCAAGAUCGGGAGCGGAUCCUUCGGUGAAAUUUACCUCGCUACUCAUGUCGAUACUUUUGAGAUAGUCGCGGUUAAAAUUGAGAACACUAAAACUAAGCAUCCACAACUGCUCUAUGAGGCAAAACUGUAUCAUGUUCUUCAAGGAGGAAAUGGAAUUCCUAGCAUAAGGUGGUCUGGUAUAGACCGGGAGGACAAUGUGCUAGUUCUUGAUUUGCUGGGACCCAGUCUUGAAGAUCUCUUUGUGUAUUGUGGAAGAAAGUUUUCGUUGAAGACUGUAUUAAUGUUGGCUGAUCAGAUGAUCGCUAGAAUAGAAUAUGUUCAUUCUAAGGGUUUUCUACAUAGAGAUAUAAAACCUGAUAACUUUCUCAUGGGACUUGGGCGGAAGGCCAAUCAGGUUUACGUAAUUGACUUUGGGCUUGCAAAACGAUAUCGGGAUCCCACAACCAAAAGUCAUAUUCCUUACCGGGAGAACAAAAACUUAACAGGUACUGCACGUUAUGCAAGUUGUAAUACUCACCUUGGCAUUGAGCAAGGCCGCCGGGAUGACUUGGAGUCACUAGGAUAUGUGCUUCUGUACUUCCUUAGAGGAAGUCUUCCUUGGCAAGGUCUAAAGGCUGCAACAAAGAAGCAAAAGUAUGAUAAAAUAUGCGAAAAGAAAGUAUCAACUCCUAUUGAGGUCCUAAGCAAAUCUCAUCCUGUAGAGUUUGCUUCAUACUUUCAUUAUUGCCACUCUUUGACAUUUGACCAGCGACCUGAUUAUGGGUUUUUGAAGCGUCUUUUCCGGGACCUAUUUGCUCGACAAGGUUUUGAAUUUGAUUAUGUGUUUGAUUGGACCAUUUUAAAGUACCAACAGACACAGAAGGUUAAAGUUCAGCCUCACACAUCUCCAGCUCCUGGAGCACGCAGAAGUCAGGCAAUGCCAACGGUUGUUGACAAUUCCCAUGGUGUUUAUGCUUAUUCAGGGGAUGUAUCGGAGCACAUUAGAUCUGGCAAUGCUACUGGUUCUGGUGUUAAGAUGCAGUUUAAAUCAACAGCAGGAAAAAAUGUGGGUGUUGGUAAUCCUGUUGAAAAGAAUAUUUUUGAAGAAGCAAAAAUGCCUUCUACUUCAUAUUCACAUGCUGGUACCUCAAAAAGGAAAUUCCUGAAGCCCGCCUUGACCACUGAAGCUGCAAACCCUGUUCGUGGCCAAGGCAGUAAGAUUGGUCCUUCAAGUAGCUGGAUUUCAUCUCUGCAACGCAUAUCUUCUGCCAAAUGAAUGAUCUAUAUGCUUUGAAUCAGGUCAUGAAGACUCAGCAUAUAUUUGAAGCUGCAAAUGUGUGGAUUCGGCGUAUAUUCCUCAAAUGGCUGUUAAAAAAAAUAUUUUGGUGAUCAAUUGAUGGAGACUGUAACUGUGCGGCAAAGAUGAUAAAUUGCAUCAAUUCUCCUUUAAGACCACACGCUACUUUCGGACUGCAAAUAAUUGGUCAUUAUAAGAAAUAUAGACUGCUCUGGCUUGGCUUCUGUGCUGUACAUAUAUUUGAAACGUGGACCACCAUGAUCCUGUUGCUGUGUAUUCAUCUCUUUAUGUAACAUUAAUUGACCAGGUUCUCAAGAAUAUAAACAAUACCAAUUCUGAGGCAAAAGUUUUGGUUGAAAGAUCUCUGAAAUAAUGGUUUUCUGAGAAAUAUCAAAGGUGCACAUACUCUGACACUUGGCCUGUUUAAUUUGUAUCUUCACUCUCGAGACCAAUGAAUAGAGGCUGGGUUUAUUUCAGCCAAGUUCAAGGAUUUUCUGUGCCAGAUUGGAUUGUCGUUUAACUGCUUUAUGAGGUCUGGGGCUUUGUAAUGAGCAUAACAGCUGUUUUUGGCAUGAACGCUGGUUGCCACAGUGCUUCUAAAGGGUUCCCAAACUCCCCCUCAGUGCUGAUCUGGGCAACUCUCAGGGGGCAAGCAAUGAGCAAGAUUCAGUUUUUAUGGUGAUCAUUACUCUUAGAUUAGCUGGUGCUUGGGGAUCCGUUGAUGCAUACGAAGUAAAGUAAACUCGGAAGACAACCCAGCCUAUCCCAUACUAGCUUAUCAUGUUGAAGAAGUGGUUGAUGACUUGAUGGAAAGGCGUACGGCUUAUUCGGAGGGUUUUUUGGCUAUUCAAGUCCAAGUCAGUACAAUUUCAGACGCAGCAUAUUUCCUUGCUCGUAAAAAAAAAUUUUGGGUCAAAUACCUGCUUGUAAAAUAAAUUGUAAGCCAAAUUUGAAAGCAACUACCAUACGGGUGUCAAUGACCUAAGUUGCAUAAAGAUUUACCAAGAGCUUGUGGUUUAAUCUUCCCUAUAAUUCCAAAGAGAGAGGGAAAAAAAAAAUACUAAUAGACGGUUGUUUCAGUUUAAAGUCACUGUUGAUAAUUAAAA